CCUUUGUACACACCGCCCGUCGCUACUACCGAUUGAAUGGCUUAGUGAGGCCCUCGGAUUGGGUUUCGGGAGCUGGCAACAGUUUCUGAUUUUCAAGAAGUUGGUCAAACUUGGUCAUUUAGAGG
rnacentral:rRNA from 1 species